AGCCCGGAUGUGGCUCCCUUCUGCAGACUC
rnacentral:sRNA from 1 species